rnacentral:rRNA from 1 species
GUCUAUGGCCAUACCACCCUGAGCACACCCAAUCUCAUCUGAUCUCAGAAGCUAAGCAGGAUCUGGCAUGGUGAGUACUUGGAGGGAAGACAUAAUUUCAAAGUAA